UCGCGGCUUAUCACCGGCAGUCUCCUUAGAGUGCCCAACUAAAUGAUGGCAACUAAGGACGAGGGUUGCGCUCGUUGCGGGACUUAACCCAACAUCUCACGGCACGAGCUGACGACAGCUAUGCAGCACCUGUGUUCCAGUCCCCGAAGGGAAGAAAUCCAUCUCUGGAAAUCGUCCGGACAUGUCAGACGCUGGUAAGGUUCUGCGCGUUGCUUCGAAUUAAACCACAUGCUCCACCGCUUGUGCAGGCCCCCGUCAAUUCCUUUGAGUUUUAACCUUGCGGCCGUACUCCCCAGGCGGAGUGCUUAAUGCGUUAGCUGCGACACCGAAAAGCAAGCUUCCCGACGUCUAGCACUCAUAGUUUACGGCGUGGACUAC
rnacentral:misc_RNA from 1 species